CCCCAGGAACGAUGUGUCUGCCGUGUAUGAAAACACUGUGGACCUGAGUCCGCCUGUUGUGUAUGGAAACCUUCCUGGGUUCCAGAAGCCAGGUGAUCAACCAACUCCAGAAGACUCAGACCACACCUACACUGGAUUGACAUUCAAGGAUACCGCCACUUACAGCACUUUGCACAGGUCAGUUCAUAGAAAACAUUGAAACAGUUUCCCACA